UCUAUUCUUUUACUUCUUUCAGUUAUGUGAGUGCGGCUAUGCUGGAGCACCGCCUUUAGUCGAACAAUGUGACCCCAGAGUUUAUUCUUUGUAAACCUAAUGCUUAUUCAGUCGGAGCGUUUUGCCUAACUGCUAGUUACGGAGACGUUAACACACCAACAUCAGUUGUCAAGCGAUGGUGGGGGGGUGGGGGACAAACACAGA